CUGGAUUUUUAUUUAUUUUGACUUGGUUUGCUAUGCCGGGCGCCUUUGCUGGCUUCAAGUAUUUCGUGAGUAGCGUAAAAUACGCGCGGGAAAUGUAAUAAAAACAUUUUUUCCAGCGGCUGCAGUAACAGCAGCAGCCAACAUCUUAUUCCUUCGGCACACUGCAGCCCAGCCUGACUUAUAGUGCUGCUACUGCUGCUGGGCUCAACUUCUGCUUUGAGCUACUUCUUCCAAAGUAUCUAGAAGAUAUUUUUAAUACAUGCUCGCGACUUUCAGUACACCCCCGCACACAGAUACGUACAUUUCUGAUGUUGUUCGAGUGUGUGUACGUUCACCCACUUAGAACACUCAUCGCAUCUUUGGCAUCCAUUUGAUGUUGGGUUCGCUGCCCCUAUCGGCAGCAUAAUGAAAAACAUUCCGGUCAUAUGCAAAAAUUUGCAAUGCAUUUUCCUAUUUUUGCCAAACUUCACGGUUUUGGGUUUUGCUCAAAUUACGAGUACAUUACGAGUAUGUUGCAGCAGGACCACAAAUUUCCUUUAAAUAUGUAUUCGAAAUUUGCAUAUUAAGCGACUCCUCCUUGCCUGCUGCUCAUUUGCAUUUACAGAUGGCUACUGCCUUUUAGUAUAAGAAGACGGAAUCGCAUUUGGUAACACCUUGGCCGGAGCCUGGGCCUGGCCUGCUCAAAACUCAAUCUUCAUCCAGCUGUAGCUACAUUCAUUGUCUUGAACUACGCCCCUUUGGUGUCUGGCCUGUCAAUGGAGGAGUCUCCGGCUGCCGGAGACAGGCGACGAUGAACCCCACUGAGGACAGGCAAGUCGAUGCUAUGCUGAUGAUGUGGGAGGGGUGGCUCUGAGAUUGAGGACACCCAACGUAGUUUCCGUUCGAUUCACCAGCUGCCGAAUUUUGCAAUUCAAAUUUCUUGUAUUCGGGGGCGGGACCAGCAAGACCAAAUGUCAAAGGCAAAAUACAAGCUCCAUCACACGGAUUUCGAAUCGAAAUAGAUAUGUAGAAAGAUAAACGUGGGACUGAAUACAUUUACUAAUUUCGAUAAUAGCCUAUUACCUGAAAUCUCUCUGUAUCGGAUAUAUUGAUAGAGCAAAUCUUCUGUAUCAUAUUCCCGCAAUGCACUAUGGGUAAAAAGCCCAACAUUUUGGCAAUAAUGUAAUUAAUUUUGUGCUAAAUAUUUG
rnacentral:lncRNA from 1 species